AUGGCCGCCACGGCGGCGGCGUGCUAUGGUGUGUGGCUCACUCGUCUCCUGAAGGAUCUGACGGGGAGAGAAGCUGGUGUGCCCACUCUGAAGAUGGACAACAAAUCUGCAAUCGCCCUCGCCAAGAACCCUGUCCAUCAUAAUCGCAGUAAGCACAUAGACUUGCGAUUUCAUUUCAUCAGGGACUGUGUGGAGGAGAAGAAGAUCGCGGUGGACUACAUCGGCACUGCCCUUCAGCUCGCAGACAUCUUGACAAAGCCGUUGGGCAAGAUCAAGUUUCAGGAGCUGAGGAGCAAGAUUGGAAUCGUCAAAAUAAGGUAG
rnacentral:rRNA from 1 species